rnacentral:snRNA from 1 species
GGAUGUGAAGGCAGUCUGGUUGUGACAUCUGUCACCCCAUUUGGUCACCAGGCAGGGUUGAUUUGGCUAAUCUGGCUAGCUAGGCAGGCGUCUCCUUCCUCCCUUACCAUUCCAUGCAUCUUUCCUAAAGCUGUAUGGUCAAAGAGAACAACCUUCUCCAAUAGAAGAGGACCAGUCUCAGCCAAGGGUAUACCAGUAACUGUGCUCCUCUGCUGGAACUUCCCAAGAAGCUCUCCAGAUUUACUCAUCCUACAAGCUUGAACUCAUUCUGUAGAUUCUGUAAAUUUGUCCCUGACUUGCUCAGGUAGAAUU